GUGAAGAACGUAGCGAAAUGCGAUACGUAAUGUCAAUUGCAGAAUUCAGUGAAUCAUCGAGUCUUUGAACGCACAUUGCGCCCCCUGGUAUUCCGGGGGGCAUGCCUGUCCGAGCGUCAUUGCUGCCCUCAAGCACGGCUUGUGUGUUGGGCCUCCGUCCUCCUCCCGGGGGACGGGCCCGAAAGGCAGCGGCGGCACCGCGUCCGGUCCUCGAGCGUAUGGGGCUUCGUCACCCGCUCUUGUAGGCCCGGCCGGCGCUUGCCGACACAUCAAUCUUUUUUCCAGGUUGACCUCGGAUCAGGUAGGGAUACCCGCUGAACUUAAGCAUAUCAAUAAGCGGAGGA
rnacentral:misc_RNA from 1 species